CUGAACUUCAAGGCAUUUGAGGUACCCCUAGAAAUUGUCCAAUUGAAGGGAAAUUUUGCACAGGCUGUUCUUUUGUCCAUUGGAACAAAAUAAGAGGUUUAUAGUUCUGCAAGAGAUUUUGAAUCUUUUGGCCAAGCUUAAAAAGACGGCAAAAAGCUGAAAAGAGAAGCGAAGUUGCUACAGGAAAAGGUGGAGAUGAAUGUGAUAUCCAAGAAAGCUCUCAAGUUGCAGCUGCAAUUGGCGAUAUUAAUGCUGCAGAACAUGAAUUUGUUUUGUGUCUGUCAAGCAUUAAUGGUUUGAUGCAGUUAAAAGUGAUGCAUUCCUAGUGUAAAAAUUAAGUACUAACAAGCAGAGACUAAUUCCAUUAGCCAUCAAGUCAGUAAAGUGCUAGCUGGUGCUGCUGAUUGGAACUUGCAUCGUUCUAGAAAAAUCGAAAAAGGAUACUAGACUUGCAAAUCCGAAUAAGAAGAAGAAAAUGUAUAGAUGCAAAAAAAAAUGUAUAAAACUUUUUUAUUCAUAAUAAAUUUGUA